CUCAGGAUGAACGCUAGCUACAGGCUUAACACAUGCAAGUCGAGGGGCAGCGCAGUGUAGCAAUACAGUGGGGUGGCGACCGGCGCGACGGUGCGUAACGCGUAUCCAACCUUCCCGAUACUCAGGGAUAGCCUUCCGAAAGGGAGAUUAAUACCUGAUGGUGUUUCAAUUCCGCAUGUUAAUGAAACUAAAGAUUUAUCGGUAUCGGAUGGGGAUGCGUGACAUUAGAUAGUAGGCGGGGUAACGGCCCACCUAGUCUACGAUGUCUAGGGGUUCUGAGAGGAAGGUCCCCCACACUGGAACUGAGACACGGUCCAGACUCCUACGGGAGGCAGCAGUGAGGAAUAUUGGUCAAUGGUCGGAAGACUGAACCAGCCAAGUAGCGUGAAGGAUGAAGGUCCUAUGGAUUGUAAACUUCUUUUAUACGGGAAUAAAACCUCCCACGUGUGGGAGCUUGUAUGUACCGUAUGAAUAAGCAUCGGCUAACUCCGUG
rnacentral:rRNA from 1 species